AUUACAGACUGCCAUCCAAACAAAAAAAUUAGAUUCUUUUUUCUUUUAUUUACAAAAAUGCCACUAAUGUAAAAAGUCAACAACCACUCGUCUCUCCGGCAAGGUCUCCGGUCAACUCCGACAGGUCACCCCCGACCACCGGCGAGAUUUCCGAUUGACCUCCGAUGAUGAUUCUGACGACCACAAAAGUUACUACCGCCAGCAACAAAAGCUACUACCCCAAACUAUUAAAGCUACUACCACCAACAAGAAAAAAUACUACCGCCAACAACAAAAGCUACUACCCCCAACUAUUAAAGCUACUAUCACCAGUAAGAAAAGAUACUACCGCCAGUAACAAAAGCUACUACAGCCAACAACCAAAGCUACUACCCCCAAAUAUUAAAGCUACUACCACCAGCAAGAAAAGAUACUACCGUCAACAACAAAAACUACUACCGCCAACAACAAAAGCUAUUGCCGCAAAGUCGCAAACAACAAAAACUACUACCCUCAACUAUUAAAGCUACUACCACCAGCAAGAAAAGAUAUUACCGCCAGCAACAAAAACUAAUACCGCCAACAGCAAAAGCUAUUACCCCCAACUAUUAAAGCUACUACAGCCAGCAACAAAAGAUAUUAUCACCGACAACAAAAGCUACUACCCCUAACUAUAAAAGCCAUUACCGAUAACAAAAACUACUACCCAGCUACUACCGCUAGUAAACAAAAGCUAGUACUGAACAGAAUAAAAGCUAUUACUGAACAUAACAAAACCUACUACGAAACAGAGCUAAAACUAUUAACAAGCACGGUAUCAAAAACAAAACAAAACAAAAAAAACUUCUACCAAGCACCAAAACCUACGUACUCUCACCUCCACCAAAACCUACUACCAAACACAAUAACAACUACUCUGACCUCCGCUGAAACCUACUCUCACCUCCACCCAAAUCUACUACCAAACACAAACAAAAACUACUCUCACCUCCACCAAAACCCACUCUCACCCUCCCCCAAAACCUACUACCAACCAUAGCAAAAACUACUCUCACCUCCACCGAAACCUACUCUCACCUCCACCGAAACCUACUCUCGCCUCCGACGACCUCCUCUCUAGCAACGUCUUCGUCGACCUCCGGCAAGAGUUUCCGGUGACUUCCUGCGACUUCCGGAGAACGUAGUGGCUGGCUUCGCUGUGGUCACCGAGAGCAGAUCGGAAAACGUAAAUCUCCAAUGAGGAAUUGAGAUGGUUACAAAAGAAACAAAGAGAGGAAAUCUAAGAGAAACUGGACGAAUCUGAAGCACGAGCUCCUUUGAGAUCAGAAAAAACAGGAUUCUCAGCACCAAUAAUCAAGAGCACCGUCCGUCGCCUUGCAUCGGAGUCGAGGUGUUGGCGCGGUUUCUGGAGUCGAGGCGACGGCUCGCUGAGCUAUGAUCGCCGGAUCGGAGUCGAGACGUCGGCAUGCUGAGCUAUGAUUACCGGAUCGGAGUCGAGGUGUCGCCGCGGUCUAACUCCUCUGAAAUCUCCUCAGAAAACGCGCGCAAAUCUCGAGUGAGAGAGUCGACGGGAGAGGUGCGACAGAGCUCCGACGACGUUGAAUCGGCGAGGGGUNNNNNNNNNNNNNNNNNNNNAGAUUUUUUUUUUUUGAAAAUAGAGAGAAACUGAUUUGGAAAGGGAGGGUGAAAGACAGGAGGUAUUUUAGGUACAUCAAUAAAAACAAAAAGACAAAUUUAUAUUUGAAAAUGGACUUGUAUGAGUAAAAAUAUUAAGAUGGACUUGCAUGAAAGAAAAUGUUAAGAAGAUGACUUAUAUGAAAUUUUCUAUAUAAGUUUUCAAUCAUAAUCAUGAAAUUUGUUUCGUUCUUGAAGUUAAACUCAAGUCAUCAACAAAUCAACCGUACGACUACUACAAUCUAG
rnacentral:lncRNA from 1 species